GCAGCAGUUACGAAACCUUUACAAUGCGCGCAAGCGUGAUAAGGGCAACCUGCGUGCCGGCCUUAGGUCGGCUUUUGCCAAGUGUAAAAAUCUUGGAGAAUAAGGGGUGGGCAAGACCGGUGCCAGCCGCCGCGGUAACCCCGGCGCCCCAAGUGGUGAUCACAAUUAUUGGGUCUAAAGCAUCCGUAGCCGGUGUAGUCUGUUUUCGGUGAAAUUUGGCGGCUUAAACGUCAAGAAGGCUGAAAAUACUGCUACACUAGGGACCGGGAGGAGUCAGAGGAAUGUCAGGGGGAGCGGUAAAAUGUGGUAAUCCUUGAUGGACCAUCAGUGGCGAAGGCGUCUGACUAUAACGGAUCCGACGGUGAGGGAUGAAAGCUAGGGGAGCAAAUCGGAUUAGAUACCCGAGUAGUCCUAGCUGUAAACGCUGCCUGCAAGGUGCUGCGAUUUCUUCGAGUUUUCGCAGUGUCGAAGUGAAGACGUUAAGCAGGCCACCUGGGAAGUACGGUCGCAAGGCUGAAACUUAAAGGAAUAGGCGGGGGUCACAACAAGGGGUGGAUGUUGCGGUUUAAUUCAACAAUACGCGGGGAACCCUACCAGGGCCGACAGCAGAAUGAAGGUCAGCCUGAAUGGCUCACUUGACGCGCUGAGAGGUGGUGCAUGGCGGUCGUCAGCUCGUGUCUUGAGAUGUUCUGUUAAGUCAGAGAACGAGCGAGACCUGCGUUUUCAGUUGCCACCGUCCUUUUUCGAGGACGAGCACACUGGAAAGACUGCAUUCGAAAGGAUGAGGAAGGUGCAGGCUACGGUACGUCUGUAUGCCCCGAAUGUCCUGGGCUACACGCGACAUACACUGGUCGGAACAACGGGUAGCAACUCCGAAAGGAGAAGCCAAUCCCUUAAAGCCGAUCCGGUCUGGAUCGAGGGCUGCAACUCGCCCUCGUGAAAACGAAAUCCCUAGUAAUCGUGUAUUAGCAAUGCGCGGUGAAUAAGUCCCUGGCCCUUGCACUCACUGCCUGUCAAGUCAACCGAGCAGGGU
rnacentral:rRNA from 1 species